rnacentral:rRNA from 1 species
UACGGGGGGGCAAGCGUUGUUCGGAAUUACUGGGCGUAAAGGGCGCGUAGGCGGCCUGCUAAGUCGGACGUGAAUCCCUCGGCUCAACCGGGAACUGCGUCCGAUACUGGCGAGGCUUGAAUCCGGGAGAGGAUGUGGAAUUCCAGGUGUAGCGGUGAAAUGCGUAGAUAUCUGGAGGAACACCAGUGCGAAGGCGGCAUCCUGACCGCAUGACGCUGAGGCGCGAAAGCUAGGGUAGCAACGGG